UGGGGAAUAUUGGACAAUGGGCGCAAGCCUGAUCCAGCAAUGCCGCGUGAGUGAUGAAGGCCUUAGGGUUGUAAAGCUCUUUCGCACGCGACGAUGAUGACGGUAGCGUGAGAAGAAGCCCCGGCUAACUUCGUGCCAGCAGCCGCGGUAAUACGAAGGGGGCUAGCGUUGUUCGGAAUUACUGGGCGUAAAGGGCGCGCAGGCGGCCUGCCAAGUCAGAUGUGAAAGCCCCGGGCUCAACCUGGGAUGUGCAUUUGAGACUGGCUGGCUUGAGAUCGGGAGAGGAGAGUGGAAUUCCCAGUGUAGAGGUGAAAUUCGUAGAUAUUGGGAAGAACACCGGUGGCGAAGGCGGCUCUCUGGACCGAUACUGACGCUGAGGCGCGAAAGCGUGGGGAGCAAACAGGAUUAGAUACCCUGGUAGUCCACGCCGUAAACGAUGUGUGCUAGACGUUGGGGAGCCUAGCUUUCCGGUGUCGCAGCUAACGCGGUAAGCAC
rnacentral:rRNA from 1 species